AGAAAUCAUGCCUACUUCCCCCCUUGCACUUGAGACACUUCUAACAGACUAUGAAUGCAGCAAAUAUUGGUGAAUUGUGGACGUACAUCUAUCAGCUCAUGUUGAAUGAGGUUUCUGCAACCAAUAUUGUUUUGGAAAGGACCUCACAAGGUUUACUGAGAUCAAUGAACUUUCUACGUUGCUCGCACCUACCAUUUUUGGUGCACUUAAGUUCUAUAGUCGCCUGAAAUUUUGGUCAACCUGUAAUUUAUUCAAUUAUUGUGAAUAAAAUGUGUUAUAAGCUU
rnacentral:misc_RNA from 1 species